rnacentral:rRNA from 1 species
CAAUAGCGUAUAUUAAAGUUGUUGCAGUUAAAAAGCUCGUAGUUGGAUUUCUGGUUGGAAGCUCCUGUCCUCUGAUGAGCGUACAAGUGCGUCCUACCAUCCUUCUGUUAACCUUUAAGGCUUUCGCGGCUUUCUAGGGGCUCAGAUAUUUUACCUUGAGAAAAUUAGAGUGUUUCAGGCAGGCUAGCGCCGGAAUACAUUAGCAUGGAAUAAUGGAAUAGGACUUUUGCCUCUUCUGUUGGUCAUGAGGCUCGAGUAAUGAUUAAUAGGGAUAGUUGGGGGCAUUAGUACUUAACUGUCAGAGGUGAAAUUCUCGGAUUUGUUAAAGACUAACUUAUGCGAAAGCAUUUGCCAAGGAUGUUUUCAUUAA